CCUUACCUGGAAACCUAAGUGACCCUGAGCAGAGGACCCAGAACCCUGACCCCUGGAAACUGAGAUAAUGAAUCUGUGUUGUUUUAAGCUACUAGGUUUCUGGUAAUUUUUAAGGCAGCCAUAGAAAACUAAUAUAUCAGAAAGGAUCCUUCCCCGGGUACAAAAGGACCCCCAACAGGAGUCUGCAGGGUGACCAUCUAAAACCAGAAGUUGAUUGAGGAUCGUCAGUGGCCUGCCAAAGUACAACGUCACAUGAGAGGUACCCGAUGAUGAAGGGAGUCUCUGAGGAACUCGCAGGUCAAGGAGGAGAGGUGAACCAUGUGACAAGUCUAGAGAGCUCAAAGCCACUGAGAGCCCGGGGUGCAGAAGAGGAAAGACACUUUAACCUUGGAUGGAACCAGACCUCUGGAGUCAAGAUGAAUCCAUCUACCCUCUUUCCAUGGGAUUUCCACUCGUAAGCUCUCUGUUUCAGUCUUCCUGAAAUCUCUUCUUGGAAGGACACCCAGACCUGUUGCAAGAGCAGAAAAUGUGGUCCUUGGCCCUGGGGAGUUUAUAAUUUAAUGGAGAA